GUGGAGUUGGGACUGGGAAAACUUU
rnacentral:piRNA from 1 species